GACGAACGCUGGCGGCAUGCCUAAUACAUGCAAGUCGAGCGAACAGAUGAAGUGCUUGCACUUCUGACGUUAGCGGCGAACGGGUGAGUAAUACGUAAGGAAUCUACCUAUAAGCGGGGGAUAACAUUCGGAAACGGGUGCUAAUACCGCAUAAUAUCUUCUUCCGCAUGGAAGAAAAUUGAAAGACGGCUCUGCUGUCACUUAUAGAUGACCUUGCGGUGCAUUAGUUAGUUGGUGGGGUAAUGGCCUACCAAGACGAUGAUGCAUAGCCGACCUGAGAGGGUGAUCGGCCACAUUGGGACUGAGACACGGCCCAAACUCCUACGGGAGGCAGCAGUAGGGAAUCUUCCGCAAUGGGCGAAAGCCUGACGGAGCAAUGCCGCGUGAGUGAAGAAGGCCUUCGGGUCGUAAAACUCUGUUAUAAGAGAAGAACAAAUUGUAGAGUAACUGCUACAGUCUUGACGGUAUCUUAUCAGAAAGCCACGGCUAACUACGUGCCAGCCGCCGCAGUAA
rnacentral:rRNA from 1 species